AUGAGCGACGGUGGCGACUCCGUCUCCAGCGAUGACUGCAUCGACGACUGCCUUGAGGCCUGCUGCUGCGACUGCUUCUGGGAUGACAUCUGCUUCCGCAUCGUCUGUGCUCUCGUGAUCGUCGCCGUCCUCGCCACCGUGGUCACCCUGCUCGUCAUCGCCUUCGUCCCCCGCCCUUUCGGCGUCAGCGUGGAGGACGCGGCCCUCGCCCGCCUCGCCCUCGCCGACAAGAACGCCACGGCCACCGCGCUCGCCUACAACAUCUCCAUCGCCGUCGGCGUUCACAACGAGAACUGGAUAAUGCGCGCCAAGCACACCGCGCGGCUGGACGCGGAUCUGCUGUUCGCCAGAGCGCGCUUCGCCCGUGUCGGACUGGCGACCGCAGGGGCCGUGGUCCGGCCCCGGCGCAGGGAAGUGUACCACGCCACGGCAGCGGCCGACAGCGCAAGCGUCGCUCUGGGGAGCUCAGGCAUGGCCGACUUCCUCAAGCAGUCCGAAGCGGGGAAGUUCCAGCUCGAGGUCAAGCUUGUCGGCGAGGUCAUGUACCGGCCACACCACAAGAAGCACAGGCUGGACGCGAUCUGCCGGCUAGAAUUGGCUCUGUCAACGGCAACCUCGCCGGCGUUGUUCAAGAAGGUAAAGUGCGAUGUUCAGUAA
rnacentral:rRNA from 1 species